UACGGUACGUGUAAUUGCUGAAGGGAACGCUUGAAGUCAGUCGCGUUGUCCGGAACUCAGCCUUGCUUUUGCUUGGUGCACUUUCCGGAUGACGGGUCAGCAUCCAUUUUGACCGUCGGAAAAGGGCUGGAAUAAUGUGGCACCUCCGGGUGUGUUAUAGACUCUGGUCGCAUACGGCGGUUGGGAUCCAGGAACCCAGCGCGCCGCAAGGGAGGGGUUCCCCCACUUUCCCGCUUAAGAUGCUGGCAUAAUGGCUUUAAACGACCCGUCUUGAAACACGGACCAAGGAAUCUAACAUACCUGCGAAUGUUUGGGUGGAAAACCCGAACGCGUAAUGAAAGUGAAAGUUGAAAUCCCUGUCGUGGGGAACAUCCACCCCCGGACCAAACGUUCUCUGACGGAUCCGCGGUAAAACAUGUAUGUUGGGACCCGAAAGAUGGUGAACUAUGCCUGAAUAGGGUGAAGCCAGAAGAAACUCUGGUGGAAGCUCGUAACGAUUCUGACGUGCAAAUCCAUCGUCAAAUUUGGGUAUAGGGGCGAAAGACUAAUCCAACCAUCUAAUAGCUGGUUCCUGCCGAAGUUUCCCUCAAGAUAA
rnacentral:rRNA from 1 species